GAACUAUAACAUUUAAACCGAAUAGAACAUUUAGAAUCUAAAAUAAAUACAAAAAUAUUAUAAAACUAAAAUCAUCUCCCAUGCACUCCCAAGUUACACGUAUGCUUGAAAACCAUUAAGAAAUGACUGCAGACGUUCACGUAAGGCUUCAUGACGUGAGAAUUGGGUAGUUUGUCAGAUCUGAAAAUAACAACCAAAGAGUAAAAAGAACAUACAUAAUAUCUUAGAAGUUUUAUAACACACCAGAAUUAAUCAUACAAAAUAAAAAUAACUAAAAUAAAUUAAAAGAUCUAUCAUCAUCUUCAUUGUCGUGUGUUUUGCUCGUUGAGACUCUGUCUCCUUUUGACAUGGAACCGUGGGUCUCACCACAUUGAUAUAAGUCACUCCACUGCAUAGACUAUCCAAAUAAGAACCAUCUGACUUUGGAACGGGUAGGCGGUAUACUUUCCUUGUUGUGUGGCUUGUUGUGUAAUGUUGAGUGGCUUGUUGUGCUCCCCCUUCUCCUUGAGCCCUAUCGUUUCUUCUUUGAGACCUUGGUUGUUGUUCGGGUUGGUGUUUAACAUCAUUGUCACUAUUUGCUAUGACUCAAUGUGAAACCACCUUCAUUGUCAUGAGGUCACCUUCAUUGUCUAGGGUGGAUUCGCACAACUGAAUAUCCUGUUGAUCUCACGGCUUGCAUACACCAAGUAUUAGUGGUUAAGCCAAGUAUGAGCUAAUACCACGUACCUCAUAGUAAAACCUUUCAUCCUAUCCCAUAAGAAUAAAAACUAGAGUCAAGAGAACCAUUGUGAGUUGAGCUAUUAUAAUGACUACAAAUUCGAAAUUUGUUGUCAUCCAGGUUAAGCCAAUAUAGUAAGUAGCUAACACCUCAGUUGGUAAAGAAAUUUGAGUCGUAAGAGUCAAGGACAUUAACUACGACCAUCCAUUCACGCUUAAUCCCACGAAUUAAGCAUCUCAGUGGAUAUCUUGGAAACCUGGAAGUCGCGAUAAGUUAAACGUUGGAAAAAGUGGAUGAGGAAAUUAGAAGCUCUAAGUGACGGAACCAUAUACUAGACAUAAUCUAAAUCUAGGAAACUCCGAAACACCGGAAGAGUAGUUGCCAAAGAUACUCACACUACUCAGGCACUUCGUCCAUCCCGUUACUGACAAGUAGUGCCUAGGACACCGCCUACCCAUGUGAGAAUAGUCAUCGUCACCCUGUAGACGAAAGACUGCAUUCUCCGAAGUGAGCAUUAAAAUGCCAAGAACCACAUGAUAACCCUCGCAACCAAGAUAUACUUGAAUAAAGUAAAAUGGUAUGUUGCGUCUAGCUUUAUAACCCCAAUCCCGAAGAGAUUAUAGACUUGACAUCAGUCUAGGUGUUAGUCGAUGGAUUAUAUAUACAAGAGCACACGCUUUUUGCGACUGAAAUAAACCAACGCCUUAGAGAAUAGAGCAUGUUUUAGAGAUUUAUUGGACUACUAAGUGUUCCAAGGAUAAUAUCUCACACAGAAAUGGUAGAACCAUCUCCCGAAACAGUCCAACACUUCAAAAAAUCUCUAGGAAUCAUACUGUGAAAGCAUCUGUUAGACGAUGAUGAAAAAUUAAAACUUUCUAAACGAUCGUCUGGUAAAACCCCAUCUCACCGACUCUGAGACAUCAGUUAGACGAUGAUGAAAAAUUAGGGACGCCUCAAGAGUCAGAAGUGCAAGUCCAUUUUGCACUAGGUCGAGAUGGAUGCCUCGUAACCAAUAGAUACCGGUAGUAACCAUUACAUCUGAGGAUCCAGAAAACCUCCGAAAGCCAAUCAGUAGGAAGUACGAAUCCGAAGUUAACAGGAGCCUUCUAAGAACCAACUCGGAACCCCACCCUGGUAAGAGAGAACUUUUGGGACUUAGACAUGGCGAUCACGCCAGUGAUGAUCUCGCCAUAGAAGUACAUUACGUUAUAAGUACUGAAAAGUUCUAUCAUUCCGAGAGCUUAUGAUCAUUCGAGAUUCUUUAUAACAAUUGGUCCAACCCUUGUUAGACCACGACUACUUUAGGAAUUUCAUAAAUUUCGCCGUAGUCGAUUCGCUUCUCUAGCAUGGACAAGGUGUUUGCCCGACGUGACUCUCGAAAUCCCACUCGUCGAGAUAAGAAUCUUUGAGAACCCCAACUUCGUAAGGGAACCUGUAGGACUCAUGAGCUGAGAGGUCAAACGAACGAACCAAAUCCGCAUCCCGUUAGUGAAGGUUCGCUGGAACGCCAAGCGUUCACGCCUACUUCUUUGCUUAAACUCUAAUUUCAGGACGAAAUUCCCUCUAACGGAGGGAUGAUGUGACAACCUGAAAUUCCUGUUUGUUUUAACGACGUAAUUAAGCACGUCAAAAAUUAGUCAAAUUUAUCCCAAAAUAUUUUUGACCGGAUUUAAACCCGUUGGAAUAUUUUAAAUAAUAUUCGUCAAGUGAACCAAAAAUAAGGAGGUAUAAUUUAAAAUUUUGCCGUGUUUAACGAAAGUCGCGAAAAACCCCAUUUACGGUUGGUGUUGGGUGGACCCCCACCAAGGCUGUAAACACAACCCUAUAUAAGGGUUGAGUGGGUUUCAUCCCAACCUUUUUCACACCUUAGACACCUCUCUCUAAUUUCUCUCUCUACAAAUCGGGUUUUGGCCAAAAAUCGCCCAUUCGAGCUUCAAAACGGUAAGUUAACCAUCCUAGCUUGUUGUUUAGCUUAUCACACUUGCAAAUUCGUGGCUUAAACAUCCAAAAACCCCAAGAACAAGAGUUUACAGUUUGGGAACAUCCCAAAACCGUAAACACCUUGAAAGAGGGUUUUGAUGCCCAAAAACCCUUCCAAACCACAUCUUAACGUAUGGGGAGUAAACACACCUUCAAGGACCAUAAACACCUUUUAAGGUGUUAAAAUGCUCCUUAAACACCUCCUAUGCCUUGGAAUAAUGUCUAGAACCAACCUCCAUUGCAUUAGGGACCGUAAACUUGAAGGAAACCAUGACUCUAGGAGUUUACGGCCGUAAACCUCCCAAGGAUUGGUUCAUGGGCCGUAAACUAGUGGUCAAAUGGUGCCCUAACUUCCUUCUAUGGCUUAUACAUUGGACUAGAACCUUGCAUGCAUGAGUUAGAACCACCAAACAACAAGAGAAAUGGACUAACAUGAGUUUACGACCGUAAACCCAUGUGUUUACGGCUGUAAACUCCCAAGGGAGUGGUCCAAGGACCGUAAACUCCAUAAAGUGUCCAUUUCAAGCCCCAAGUCACUUCCAUAGCCCUUGAAUCAACCUUAGGACCUUUCCUUGUGAGGCAUGAAGCCUUAAAGCACACAAAUACACCAUUCCCCUGAGUUUACGAUCGUAAACUCAUGGGGGAUAUGGUUCCAAAACAGUAAACACCCCUAAACACUACCAUUUGAGGAGUAAACUCCAAUGUGAGUCCAUGCACACCUUAUAUGCAACCCUUGGUACUCUUAGUUGAAACAUGCUAGUUAUCAUAUCAAUCAUCGGUGAUUAAUAACCCGCAUGCAAAAGGAUUUAUUACACUUUCAUCUGUUUUACCAAGUAUAUUACUUCAAAUGGUUUUCCAAAACGUUACUACUUAUUUAGAUCUUUCUCAAACUAUCCUUCGUGCUGUAUGUUUUCCUUCAAAACCUGUUACAACAAUAUUUUAAACAAAGGUUUUCUUCACUUAAACUGUGUUAUCAAAUCAUUUUUCAAAGCUUGUUUAUGAAAGGUUUACCAAAGGUUUUCAAAACUUGUUUUAUAAACUGACAUCAAGUCAUAAAUUCUUAUUUAUAAAGUUUUUCCAAAAUGUUUUACAAAGUUUCUGUUAUGCUUUAAUUUCGUUAAAUGCAUGCCUAUAUUUGUAUAGUUAUAUAAAUAAUGUUUAAAGGACUUAGGAAGAGGCUAGUUCGCCCUAUUUCCUUUUCCUCGUUGGGAUGUAGUCUGGUGGGUAUCGGUUAUCCGUCCGAAGGUCGUUUAAACAUUAAUUAUAUAUCAUGUAUACAUGUUUGGACAUAAAGGCUCUCUCUCUCUCUCUCUCUCUCUCUCUCAGCCAAUUCAUCGCCUUGAGUAGUACAGACAUCCUUCUAUUAUUCAUGUUUCUGGAACCCUAGUAACUAUUAUAGGAAUAGUUAGGAGACUCUAUCUCUACCUCUACCUUUAUCUCUAUCUCUCUCUCUCUCUCUCUCUCUCUUUUACUUUAGAAUGUGACACACUAUUUCCCUCUACAACGCUUCAUUGCGCCAACACCGUGUAACCAGAGUCUCCGGGAAGGAGAGCGAACAUCAUGUGUAUAGAUCCAUACGGGACUAACACUCCCACACCCAGACUACUAGCUACAGUCUGUGCUGGUAAGGCACAUGGGUGACAUAUGCCACUACCUCUAAUGCCACUACUUCUACGCAUUACCUGGACGGUCAUCGGAUACUCUAUCGUCGAUCAGCAUGGUUACACACGGGUUCACAUUCACCCUUUGUUUUAGACUUUACUAGCUGUAUCGUUCACUCGAUACUGUCUAGAGUCUGUAUUUUCUUGUUUUAGACUUUGCUAGCUGUAUCGUUCAUUCGAUACUGUUUGGAGUCUGUGCUUCCUUUUGUUAGACUGAGCCAGGCGUAUCAUUCAUUCGAUACUCUCCUGGAGUUUAUGUUUUCUCUUAUUUUAGUCAGCAAUGUUACUGCUGAGGUAUAUAUAUACUAUUUUUCCCCUAGUAUUUUCACUUGGGAUUUUCUCAUUACUCUUUUAAAGUCAAUUAUGUAUUUGGUAAUGAUAGUAAUUUGGGGAGAAUUACUCCUUAAAACAUAAAUCGGUCGAGUUUUGGUAGAAGACUGCUUUUAUUUAGAAAGUAUAGGAUUUUCUGGAAAGGACGCUAAUACACCGUAGAUUCUAAACUACUAUAUUUCAUAAAGUUAUUUUGAAUAAAAAUGUGUAUUUAUACAAAUGGCACUAAAUACUUAUGGACUCACCAGCAUUAUAAAAUACUGAUACUCGCUUUCAAAAUAACUUGUAUUCUCAGGUCAGCGAUAGAUAGGUUCAUCCCAGGAGCUUUUGUGAAGACAACCUAGUACCAAGCUGCAUCUAUAUUAUUCCUUGUAUUACUUUGAUGUUGCUAUGAAAUGUAACCUAUGUAAAUUUAUUACUAUUAAUGCAAUGGUUGUUGUUCUUUGAUUACUAUACUGCAUAUGUUGUGAUACUUGACAUGACGUCAUCCACCCCAGAACGUUUCCGCCGUUCUGGUUUUGGGGUGUGACAUCCAUAAGUCACAGUGAACAAUAUCAAACGGUAAAAUAGUAGAAGUUGAAUAUGAAAAUGGUAAUCGUUUAUGCUUGGAAAUUUGACAAGAAUUGCAAACUAACGAUCUAGAACGUUUAUUACAUGUUAUAAGCUUGUUUAAACUAAGAAAAUUCAAAACUAGAAGACCGGGGUGUUCCAAUUGAUCAUGCCAAAAAUCUCGAGCACUUGAGGUAAGGAAGGCUACAUUUGUGACUGGGUAAGUGAGAGGAUAAAGUUUGCUGGAACUAUUGUGGCGGGACAGCAUCCGACCAUUCGGAAAAUCCUUCACAGAAAACCCAUGAGGAUCAAAUUCUAUGGAAACAUUAUUAUCAACAUAAAAUUUUCGAACAUAAAUAAGAUUUUUGAUGAUAUUUGUUGUGUAAAGGAUAUUAGUUAGGUGAAGGUUUCGUGUGGUUGUCUGAAUGGUUGAGGAACCUGAUCCACAAACUGGCACAGAGGCACCAUUACCUACAAAGAUGAAGCCAAUAGGACAAUUGAACGAGGGUUUGGAAAUUUUACCUUGGUCACAUGUGAGGUGAUCUGUGGCACCGGAGUCCAUGUACCAUUGAUCAUCAACCGAGUCCAUAGUCAUUGUCUGAAGUGCUUCGCUAAGUUGAGUGGGCUCGAGAGGGUCGAAUGCAGUAAGGUUGGCUUGGUUUGCUGCUGGAGCAGGGGAUCUGGGUCCAGAUUUGGAUGUUGCAGGUGUGCCAGUAGGUGUAGGACAGAAAGAAGACGCAGGAGGUGAUGGGUUUUGGUCAUAAGACAUCCUAUGUGCUCAUACAAACCCUAAUGCUUGGAUCUAGGUUUCUCUAUUGUACAUGCUUUGAAUCCAAGACUAUGAACACUAAUUCUAGCAUAUGGAAAUCAAUAUUAACAUAUAAUUAGGUUUAAGAUAUUACCUUGAUUGUUAUGUAGCAAUAACAAUCCCAAUUCCUCCUUGAAUUGACUUUGGAAGGCUUAGAGUCACAAGUGUCACUCCUCUAAUGGCUUACAAACACCAUAAACAAGUGGAGAAGGUAUAUAGAGAGAGGAGGGAGGUUAGAAUUCGUCCUUAGGACCUCUUGGGAAGGGUUACCCGAAUUCAUAAGCCCUAUGGGGUUUAUAUAGGUGUAAAGAUUAGGGUUUUAGUCCUUAUCCUUAUCUAGUUGCUUGCCCACCAAGCAACCAUAAGAUAAGUCUUAGAAACCCUUAUCCUAGUCGAAUUCUAAGGCAUUUACACCUCAAAUUCGUUCACCAUAUAUAUAAGAUAAUCCUUACCUUAUUUUGUAACUAUCACAUAAUUACAAUUCAGCCCCUCUAGUUUAAUUAAUUACACUUGAUCACAAAAUUAAUUCUUAAUUAAUUAUUGACCAAUAUUAAUUAAACAAAUAUGAUUUCUCCUUUAAUAUAUUAUUCUUAUAACAUAUUAAUAAAUCAUAAUAACCUCUCUCUCUAUUUAUUUCUCCAAUCAAGUUGCUUUGGUGAAGGCAACCCAAAAGGACCAUGCACCAUCGGGUCAAGUACAUACCAAAAUAGUUAUGGACUUAGACACUAAUCCAACAGUCUCCCACUUGGAUAAGUCUAACAACUAUUCUGCGUAUGACUUCGGAUCCCGAUCUGCAAUCGUAGCUUUCCAAAGCCGCUGUCAACUCUGAUCAUAUCAGAUACGCGUGUCCUUAGAUAAGGGAUCAUAUAUUCCUCCAUUCUAGAUAUCAUAUGAGAUAUGAUUUCAAAUCAUUCUCUUUGUACUAUAUCUCGAUUUCCGAUUUAUGACGACUGACUAAUUGAACAAAUCAAAUUAGCCCUAGCCCGGCCGAGCAUUUACGUUUGUCAUCACUAAACCAUCGAGGGGCCCAAAGAUAUCGCUUUUAUCCUACUUUGGAUAAAAGGAACGGAUAAACUUUGAUACAAUGCUUGCUUGCACUCACUCACCGAAUCACACACAACAAUAUGUUUUAUAACACCAAGUUACUAGUGCGUUUACAUAUUAUCAAUGUGCAACCGAUUUGCAAGAUACAACUCACACAUCUCGGUUUCAAGAAUAUAAGAUGUUAUCGUCUCACCAAUCACUCGUGAUACAAUUCAUGGAGUGAUCCAAGUGAGCGUGGGUUUAAUCCAAUGCUCAAAUCAUAUUCAUAAGCACUCAUGAACGUUGCAGCAAACAUUUGCUUAUGUCUAAUACUCUUUUAGACAAUCCACACACCAAUUCACGACAGUCUUCAUUCAUAUCUACUUCCAACAUAUGAACGACUGUGGCCCGUUUGAAUAAUUCGAUUAUUCUUAAUAAACUCAAUUAUUCUGGAAGUCAAAACAUGCAAAUGUGAAACACAAGAAUAAUACUAAUCCCAUAUGGCCUCAAACCUUUGAGUAUAAAUAAAACACCUUUUAUUUAUCACCAUAUUGAUUACUCAUUAUUUGUCGUUUCGGGUAAUCAACUUCUUACUUGAAUUCCAACACUUGUCCCAUGCUCCUAGCAUGCACACAAUGUUUACCUAUGGUUCUUACUUUGUGAAAUAGAUCACAUUGAACACAUUUCCAAUCCUUCUCAUUUCACAACUCCAAAUCCCUUUUUCAUAAGUGAAAGAAUAUCAAAUUCUUGCUACUUAUAGAAUAUGCUAGAUUCUAACAUUCUAUGCAACUAUCCUUUCGUAAUGUCACUGCACCAAAGUCACAAAGACUAUUGCCAAUGAUAUUACAAAGUCCUCUAUCGGAGAUUGUUACAAGACAAUUCCAUAGACGUGAUGUCUCUCACUCAAAGUACAUUCUUUGAACAUCCUUUUGCAUAGAAGUUUCUAAUCUAGUCAUAGAUUUCUCAAUAUUCAAUUCCCAAUAUGGACACACUUCCAUAUGUUCCAUAUGACAACUCAUUCUUAAUAGAAUCUUAUCUAUUCGUAAUGAUGUCGAUAUGGUCCAUCCAAUAUGGAAACAUUUCCAUAUUUUCCAAUACUAUACUUCCAACUACUCACAAGCGACCAAUCCUCGUCGAACUUUGGAUUGUCCUUUGAUAGUUGUUUAAUUAUUUUAGUCAAAACCAAUUCUAGUCCCUUUUCCCUCUAAAUGCGCUCGACAUUUGGAAAAUUUUAGAAUGGUCAAACAUUAAAGCAUUUGCAAUCGAUCCUAUACCCGAAGCGUAUGGGACACGACGCAUAAUGUUUUAUUUGCUAUGUUCUCAAAAUUCGAAUUGUGAAGAGGGAUGCCGUAAUCAUAAUCGAAAUUUUAAGAACACACUAUGUACCUUUGACUAAAUUUAUUAACAUUUCUCAACCUAAGCCUUUAGAUUUGAAAUGAAGCAUAAUAUUCUCUCCCUUAAUUAUAGCAAAACAACCUUUCAACCCUUACAACUUUGCAAAGUAUGACUCUUGUUUUCUAUAAUUAAUAUUGCCAACUUGCAAUACUUUCCUUAAUAAUCAUACAAUCAUAACAUUUAUGCUCCCACUAUCAUGAUGAUUAUUAUAAAACAUAACACUUAUGCUCCCACUAGCUUCGACAUGUAUUCAUAAACAUCUUAACUUUCAGAAAAACAAUACUUAUUGAAUUUCUUAAGUUCAUGUUUCUAAUACUUAGUGCUUUGAUAAUCUUUUAUCAAGGCUUCUUGAACUUAUACACCUUUGCCUUCGAUAGUUCAUAUGUGUGUCUAAACAAUUAAGACUAAUUGCCAAACCUCACAAUUCAAAUUAUGGAAAGGGAUACCGUAACCAUAAUCGAAUUCGAGAAUGCAAUUUUACAAUCACUAUCUUCUUAAAAUCUUUCUUAGUGAAAGCAUUUCCUCACAAUCAUUUUCAUGAAGGAGGAAAUCUUAUGACACUUAGAUUUAAACGGUGUAUGUGUUCCUAUCCAUGUGAAUUUGUUAAAACCAAAGUUUACGACAAAUUCAAACUCAUAUGGACCGAACUUUCUUAAUCUUGAUUUCUUGCCUUAUGGUAGCACAGCUGCCCACCAUGUCUUCCAAGUAGUUAAGCAGCUCACCCUUUCCUAUCAAUGUACCUUUCAUUGAUUAAGGUGCUUUGCCUUUUAUGCGUUCAAAAUGAGAACUCAUAGAACUCACAUGCAUAAUUAACUCGAUUGGAUUGGCACAGAAACAAAAUAAUGUCAACACGAUAGGUUGUAAACCUCAACUCGUGUGCUAGUGAUGAUCGAUAAGGUUUUUUUGAUUUGUUCUUGAAACCUUUCAAGACCAUUAAGACUCCCACUGACUCCUUGACAUAUAAGAUUCUCUUGUCAAUAAACAUUUCUUGACAAACAAAUAUUCAAGAGUUAGUGUAGUUUUUAUCAAAACACUUCAUAAAUUGGUCCUAGUUGGUCUUUGUCUUAUCCAAGACAUCACAACUUUCCACAUUUGAUGAAUGUUAUAAACCUUCUUAAUACUUUUCACUCAAUGUCACAAUCUUAACUCUAAGACUUGUUUUGGAACGAAGUAUGAUUGACUUCUUGAUUUAACCAUUUCUUCAAUUCUUGAUUCCUCUUCUUAGACAUACAAUUGUACUAAGACUCACUUAGAGGAUCAAUUGAGAUAUGGUUCUUAAUCAUUAAGACCUAUCAUAAAGCAUAAAAGGUACUCUCCCUUCUUCUUAGAAUGGAGAAACUUUUAUCUUUCUGCCUACUUGAUUCUUCUUAUUCGUUCUGCUAUUGAUUUAAACUUUUUCAAUCAAUUCAGAAUUACACUUAAUCUUGUAAGUAUAAUCAUAUUUACUAAACCUUUAGUAAAUCAUGACGAAUAUCUUUGUUACUCUUAUGGUGGACUUGAUCAACACGCAACUUUGUGUACUCGAUCUCCUAGUCCUUCACUUGACACUUUGUCAAUGAAUUAGUCUAAUUUCCAAAUAUGAAAUUUCUCAUUCAUCGUGCAACCAAGUUGCAUGAUUCCAAGUUUCUGUCCAAUUGAAACUUGGGCGAUGAGAAACUCUCCCUAUUUGGUAAACUCUCGACUUUCCAUAAAUAACAUAAUAAGAACCAAAUCCAUUAUUGCUAAUAAUAGAAACAUUCAAACAUCAAUUUUUCAUAUACGCCAUUGCAAGGAUAAAUAAAUAAUAUAAAAUCAAAAUUUAUUUUAUUGCGGAAAAAAUUUGUCCUUACAAUGCAAUUCAUUGAAAAACUAUGCUAAUACAUCUUUCUUAGCAAUCUAAUUCUAACUCUAAGUAGUAGCUCAAGAAUCUAAUCUUCGAGAAAUGCGAUCGAAAUCCAUUCCUUCACGGUUAGAUUCUGCUCACUUCUUCCCUUAAGCUUCCUUUCUUUUCUUCGAUCCUACAAAACAUCAAUUGUAAUCUUAUCACAUUAUGUAUUAAGAAUCUAGAAUAGAAGCUUAAAAGAGUUAGUUAAUGGAUUUUACCUAUAUUAGAGCCAUACGUUUCGACUCUCCCAUCUCUUAGAUCUCUUAGGUAAAUGGGGCAGCUUCGUCUCCAAUGCCCUUUCUCUUGGCAAUAAAAGCAAAUUGACUCUUUUGGAACAUGACAUGGAACUACUUCAGACAUUGCCUUUCUCUUAUGAUCAAACUUUUCGAUCAUAGCAUGUCUUUCGUUGCCAUUGUCUAUAUCCAUAGAGGUCUUGAAGGCAGAUUCACCAAUCAACUUUGCUUUUCUAUUGCGCCAAACCAUUGCUGAUUCAGCAGCAAUAAGCAUAUAGGUGAGAUCUAUAAGGGUCACGUCGCGGUUCAUCAUAUAGUACUCUCUUACGAACUCACUAUAUGAGUUAGGAAGUGACUGAAGAACCCAAUCAACAGCCAUUUCCUCACAGACAACGGAUCCCAACAUUCUUAACCUAUCAAUGUGUGACUUCAUCCCUAGGACGUGUGCACACACCGACUUUCCUUCUUUAUGUUUACUUGCCAAAAGGGCUUGAGUGAUCUUGAACUUUUCAAGCCUUUGAACUUGUGGGUUAGGGAGAAUAAUUGGAGGAGGAGGAGGAAGUGAAGCAUGAUUUCUUGUUCCUCGAUCGAAUCGUGGAAUAUCAUCUUCAUGUGGAAUGCUUGUUCCACGGGAUUUGGGAAGACCAUAGUUGUCGAACUUUGACAUCUACAAAACGGGAGAAAACGAAUUCAAGUUAGUUGAUUGAUUGAGUCCUUAGUAAAUCACCCAAAUGAGAUACUAAGGCUAGGACCCAACACAAUAUUCUACAACUCGGGAGAGGGAUGCCGUAACCCUAAUUGCAGAAUAUUUGAAGGUAAGUGAAUGACGAUUCACUAAUUUCCACCAUGAAAAACGAAAAAGAAAUUUAAGUUUUAAAUCUAUGAAAACUCCUAGAUCCUUUGAGAUUCAUUGAACUUUCAAUGGCAUGUUUAAAUCUCGAUAUGCCCCUCUUGUUUGUGACUGGGAUGCCGAGGAUCACAAAGCGGGUGUGAAUAACCAUGCAAACUUACAUGGUGCCCUCACAUGUUACAGUCACCUAUUCGAUGUGCCGGUAAACCACACACGCUCCACCGAACUAUGACAAACAUUGAGUCACCCUUUGCUACCUUUGCUUAGAACCAUUUAGUGUGCCGGUAAACCACACACGCUCCACUAACGUCUUCGCAAGGGCACAAAGUGUAAUUUCAUGGAAUUGCAUCAAUUCACUUUUGCCUAAGUAACUAAGAUUGGGAAUUUUAUGAAAACAUUUAGUUACUUUAAUAAUUCAUUAUACUUAUAAUGGAAGGUUUCGUCCUAUCCUACCCGUUCGGCUAACGACCCUCCACUAGUCAAGAGUGCGGUGGGUAAGAGUGGAUACCCAUUCAAUCGCCAUUUUAUAGGCAAUUUCCUUAAACACCCCUUAUAGACCAGCUUCGUGAAUGAGGCCUACUAACGGUAAGACUGACUUUUACUCAUACAUAUAUAUAAUGUUAGACUUUUAAUGUUAUAUAUAGUAUAGGGUGUAUUUUAUACUUUUAAAAUACUAGGUGGUCUAAUUUAACAAUUAUACUUUUAAUUCAAUUAAAUUGUAAACCUAAACUUUUAUGGAUUUAUUAAACCUCUUUUAAUUAUACACCUUAAUUAAUUAAUAAAACCAUAAGGGUGUGAUUUGAACUUUUUCAAAACUAUACUAGAGUUUUAGAAUUUAACAUUCCUAAUUAAACUUUUAAUCAACUUUUAAAUUCCAAAACUUGAGGGCAAGUUUUGAAACAUUUCAACACAUUAGGGUUUAGAAUUUAAAUAUGCAUCAAAAUUAAACUAUUUAAUCAAAAUUUAAAUUCCAAAACUUGAGGGCAAGUUUUGAAACCUUUUUCAAAACAUUAGGGUUUCAACUAUUUAAAUUUCAAAACAACAAAACUUUUGGGGUUCAAAUUUAAACUAUAAAACCUAAAGGGCCAAAUAUGAAACUUUUCACAACAACAAGGAUCAAAUAACAAAUAAUUCAAAUUAACAUUUAAUCACAUAAUUAUCCAUAUUUGAUGAUUUCUUGCAAAAUAAUUUAUCAAUUUACUUAAAAUAAUUAAUCAAUUAUCUUAUAAGGAAACAAUUAUCUUAUUAAUUGAUAAAUAUCUUCAAUUAGAUUAAAAAUAUAGUCAAAUAUAUCAUAUAAUCGGAUUAAUAUUAAUCUAACAUGAUAAGGUAAUUAUCCCAAUGCAAAAACAGCAAGAAAUCCCGAGAUAAGCACUGUCUGACGCACCGACUCGCCGAGUCACCCUCUGGAACUCGCCGAGUAGGGCUGACUCGCCGAGUCCAAGAGUGACUCGCCGAGUCAGGUCGAACAGUGAGGCCAAAACACGAUUUUCAGUUACAUCAAGCAUCAAUACAAUAGAAACCAAUCAAGGCUCUGAUACCACUGAUGGGUUUUGGUCAUAAGACAUCCUAUGUGCUCAUACAAACCCUAAAGCUUGGAUCUAGGUUUCUCUAUUGUACAUACUUUGAAUCCAAGACUUUGAACCCUAAUUCUAGCAUAUGGAAAUCAGAAUUCACAUGUAAUUAGGUUUAAGAACAUACCUUGAUUGUUAUAUAGCAAUAACAAUCCAAUUCCUCCUUGAAUUGACCUUGGAAAGCUGAGAGUCACAAGUGUCACUCCUCUAAUGGCUUACAAACACCAUAAGCAAGUGGAGAAGGUAUAAAGAGAGAGGAGGGAGGUUAGAAUUCGUCCUUAGGACCUCUUGGGAAGGGUUAGACGAAUUCAUAAGCCUUAGGGGGUUUAUAUAGGUGUAAAGAUUAGGGUUUUAGUCCUUAUCCUUAUCUAGUUGCUUGCCCACCAAGCAACCAUAAGAUAAGUCUUAGAAACCCUUAUCCUAGUCGAAUUCUAAGGGAUUUACACCUCAAAUUCGUUCACCAUAUAUAUAAGAUAAUCCUUACCUUAUUUUGUAACUAUCACAUAAUUACAAUUCAGCCCCUCUAGUUUAAUUAAUUACACUUGAUCACAAAGUUAAUUCUUAAUUAAUUAUUGACCAAUAUUAAUUAAACAAAUAUGAUUUCUCCUUUAAUAUAUUAUUCUUAUAACAUAUUAAUAAAUCAUAAUAACCUCUCUCUCUUUAUUUAUUUCUCCAUUCAAGUUGCUUUGGUGAAGGCAACCCAAAAGGACCAUGCACCAUCGGGUCAAGUACAUACCAAAAUAGUUAUGGACUUAGACACUAAUCCAACAGGAGGCCCAACCCAGGGAGAGGUCCAACCCGGGUUGGUGGGAAAGGGACAUGGUGGCGGGGUCCAAUAGGCCCAGUUGGGUAGCCAGUUGGGAUGAAACAUCCAGGGGGACUGAGGUGUACCAGUACCUCGUAUGGGGCCUGUUAAGGGGGAGCCGCUAAAGGGGUUAUUGGAGCGCUUCUGUCCAGGCCUAUGGUUGGGACGCCGUCUGUUGUUAUAAUUAGGAGAGGCAUGUGGCGGUUCAGAUGAGACAACGACCAUGGCGGUGGGAUGGGACAUGGAUUCACGGGCCGAUUAGCGGUGAUGUUCCAGUUCAAGCAUGCUGCAGGCGGUCUCCCAAGUGGGAAGGAUUUGAUUGAUGUACGAGGUGAUGAUAUCAUAUUCAGCGGGUAGUCCUCGAACUAGUUGAAGAACAAGCUGUUGAUCAUUUACCGGACAGUCCACAUCAUUGAGUUGACUUCCCAAUUCUUUGAGCUUUUGACAGUAGGCUUCAAGAGAUGACAUGGAUUUUAGUGUGAGAUUGUUGAAUUCAUGCUCCAAAGCUGCAACCCUAGAGCCCUUGUUGUUGAGAAAUAUGGCUUUGAUUCGAGACCAGGCCUCAUAGGCAGUGGACUCGGUGACUAGAACGCGAACCAGUAGAUCGUCAGAUAAUGUUCCAUAAAUCCAUUGCAAAACAAUGGCAUCAAUUUCAGCCCAGGCCUCGUAUUCUGUAUCUGUUUUGGCCGGGGACUGUGUCCCGUCAGUGUGAGACAUGACUUUGUAACCCUUUGCGUGCAGUUGAAAGAGCUUGACCCACGAAGAGUAUGAUACCUUCGUUCCAUCAAGCAUGCGGACCUUAUGCUGAAUGUUGGUCACAGUGUAGACGAGAUGGAGGGGCUUGGUAGCAGGUGCAGGUGUGGUGGCCAUGGACAACAGGGUACGGGAAAAAAAAACAGAAAGAUAGAGGAAGAACAAACCGUGGUUUGAGAGAGACGAGAGCUAGGCUCUGAUACCAUAAAGGGAAUCGUGUUUCCUUGACAGCAUAACAGAGUACAACCGAUUAAAUACAGGAAAGCUAGCUACAAAAGAGGAACAUAUUUCCCUGUAAUUAGGGAUAAUCACAUAUUUCUAGGUACUAACCUAAAAUAGAUAAGCGAAUAUUAAAUACAAUUUACAGCUAAUAAUAUACAAUUUACAACUAAUAAUAUACACGCUAAUAACGUCGUGAAUCGGUAAUUUUGACAAAAUAGAAAAAUCAUUCUUACAUAUUAUUCCAUGGGUCACCACCAUUCUUCUUGGGAUUAUUAUGAAUAUAAUUAUGGCUCAUUUUCUCAACCAUGCGAUGUGGCGUUUUCAUUCCCACAUUGUUCUUUAUGUUUUGGAGAUUUGCACCACAUUUGUUGAAGAUUGAAGGCUCGAUUCCAAAUUUUUGUCGGCAUAUUUGCAUAUCUAAUGUGUUCAAGAUCCAAGUUCCUUAUUAGAAGAAGUCCGUAUUCAAGAUGCAUAAUUUAUCCACAUAUUUGGAGUUUGAUCUCGUCACUACUACCCAGGGUAAUCUGUUCAUUUUUCUCCAUUUUAUUGCUUUUAAAUUAUUGUAUGCAUACAAUGAGGGCAUUGUAUGUAAUAAGUGUGGAUAGGGGGUCGAAAAAAAAUUGCUAGAAAAUUAAAAAAAUUAAAAAAUUUAAAAUCUUUUAGACAUAGAUUUGAAACAAUAAUUUAAAAUUAAAUCUAGUUAUAAUUUAAAAACUUAAGUUGCUAGUGUUAUGUGGGAUGAUCUGAUGCGAGCCCAAAUAUUUAAUUGAGCCAACAUAUGUUAUAGUAUAUUUGUGGCUUCCAAUUUCUAAUGAAAAGUCAUGAGUUAUGAAAAGGUAAUUUGGUAGUUUAUAUGGAAUAAUAAGUUUUGCAGUCUGUACCUGAAAUCUAUCCUGAAGAACUUAUGUAGUCAUUGCACUUAGACUAAUACCUCUAGCUAAUAAAGAUUGAAGUUAAACUCCCUUGCUUAAGCAUGUAGGUUUUAAGCGAAAAAAGCGAGUUAUAUAAAAAAGAGAGAUAAAUUACCAAAAAGUUGAAGAAUUUUAGAGCUAUCAAGUAUGAAAAUCAACAGAUAAAAAUUCUAAAGAAUCAAAAAUUGAAGAUACCAAAAUAAAAAAGGUGGUGAAUUCAAAGAAAUCAAAGAUCAAACAUCAAAGAAGUGAAGAAUUCCAAGAGCUUCAUUGUGGUAUCUAAAGUUGUAAUUUCUAGAUUAUGUAUGCUUGAGUAGCUUUACCAAAAAUACGUUGCAGAAAUGAGUAUCAUAUAAGCUAAAGGGUGAAGUUUCAUAAGAAUUGUGAGUAUUUAGGAUUAGGAGUUAUUAGGAGUUAGACACAAUUAUACGCAUUGAGGUCUUGGUAUAAUGAGUGAGUUAUUUAGGAUGGAUUGUUCUAUGUGAUGCUAGUAAAGAAUGUUUAAAUUAAAACUAAUUAGAUUUGCUUGAGGGCAAACAAAGAAUAAGUGUGGGGUAUUUUGAUAUUGCCAUAUUUAUACUUAUUUUUAGGCAAUAUUUAAGUACAUUUUAAUUACUAUUUUGGUUAUUUGAAUGGAAUAAUGAUACAUAUAAGGUUAAACUGUAUCUUGCAGCCAAAUGAAAGACAUUUUGAAAAAAAAAGGACUAGAAGUGUCAAAGAAUGGAACUUUGGAGGAUGAAGACUUGAAAGAUAGAAAAUUCACCAAAAAUGCACUCACAACGUGAGUUGGGGACCUUCCAGAAGAUAAAAAUCUCGAAUCAGGAAUCCUUGUCAAACAUGGAUAACUACUAAACUCACGACGUGUAACGCCCGCAGAUCCGGGCUAGUCAAUUUAGAGGCAAUAGGGGUCGAAAACGACUUUUCGACAAAAAGAUUAUUUAGAAUAAAUAAUCUUAACCAAGUUGUAGAAGAUGUCACAGGGUUUCCGUACAUAUAAAGAACGCCGAAAUCCGAGUUAUAACGAAGAAGUUAUGACCCGUCGAAGUUUCGCGUCGGAACCGGCACGGCGCCGGAAAGCGUAAAUAGUAAAUUUAUGAUAGAGCGAGAUUUAGAUUUAGCGCUCUAAACGAAAGUCGUAGAAUAUGUUAAACUAAGAGCUUCGAUAAAAAGAACGCCCAAAUCUGACUUCGUAUGAAGAAGUUACGAUUUUUCGAAGUUUCGGAUUAGCAGUGUACAGUCUGAAAUUCGAAUAUUAGAUCGAGCGAUUUUUAGCCGACACAACCUAAACGAGAAUUGAAGAUCUCAUUAUUAGUAGCGUAACAAUAAAAAGACAGACGAAAAUGGACAUCGGAUGAAGAAGUUAUGAGAUUAUAACGGACCAAUCCUGUCCCAGCCUGUUAAAAAUAUAACUUUAAAAAUAAAUUCAAAAUUAGCCGAAGGAGUCUAAACGAAAGUUGUAGAGUGCGUCUCCACCUACGCAUGGAUAUAAAGAACGUCAAAAACGGAGUUCGUAUGAACGAGUUACAAAUUAUAAUAGCAUAUUUACGUAUUAAAAUAAAGUAUAAAUCAUAUAUACGUACACAUAUAUAUACAUAUGUAUAUAUCAUUAGAAAGGUAUCGACGAUGCGGUCAUUAUAAGACUAAUGUUGAGUUCUUUCGACAUUAGUUUAGUACAAAUAUCUUUAAAUCUAUUUAAAAUAGUAUUAUAAAGGGGUGUUUAGUUGUUUAUAUAACUAUAAGGUCAUUAAGUAAUUAUGGGGGGUAGUUUUUGUAAAUUCAAUUACUAUAAAUAAGAGGCUUGGGCUCUCAUAUUUCUUGCACCAUUCUCUUGAUUCAAGAGUCUUUCUCUCCUUAUCCCCCGAGCAUUUCGGUCCCUCGUGAUUCGACUUCUCUUUCUGUAGUUUUAGUAUAGUAAGGUGAGCGCUGAAGCGCUGCACGAAUCUUUCUUAGAAAGAUUCAGCGACGAAGUUCUGCCCCUACAGAGCCCGACUCCUAGCUAAAAUCCCCUUGUAAGUAAGUUAUGCUUACCCUAUUUUAAAUAUAGUUUAUAUUUAAAAUUAGUAUUGUUAUUAUAAAUUUAUAAUAAAUAUUUGAGCUAUUAUUAUGACUUAUAUAAGUGUCGUUAUAAUAUCUUUUUAACUACUCGCGGUACGGGGAAUCUGGUUUAAAGGGCCGCAUAGGGUUGUUGGAUUUCAGAAGUGCUAUAUGCCAAAAUGGUCCUGCCCUCCGGUGUUUUAUGUCUGGCCCCUGUCUGUACAUAGUGGUUGGAAAGUAUUGUUUAAACGCUUAUAUAAUAAUAAUAAUAAGACUAAUAAUUAGUCACGGUAAAUAUUAGACUAAAAUCUAGUGGUAAUAAUACUAGGUUUCGUCGAAGGAAAUUAUUUUAAAGUAAACGAAGCGCUGUCCGAGUACCGAGUCACCACCUUCUCAAGUGAGUGCAUAGUUACUUUCAUCUUACACAUAGAUAUGAAGUAUUUUAUAUAAACUACGUGCUAUGUGUGCACAUUAUCUGAAUACUUGCUGUCUAUGCUGGUUGAACGUUUUAUACAUGUUUUAAAGGACUUAAACUGUAUACGUAUUUUAUAUAUACGAAAAUGUUGGGUAUGAGAUGGGUAGAUGAAUGAUGAGAGAUAGAAGAUGACGUGAGUAUACAUUGGCAGCUACAGACUUAGUGCCUAUGGGACAAACACCGGUAGCUAUGGACUUAGUACCUUUUAGACGUUGGUAGCUAUGGAUUUAGUACCUGUAGGAAUUGGUAGCUAUGGACUUAGUACCUGUUGAACAUUGGUAGCUAUGGACUUAGUACCUAUUAGAUAAAGACUGGUAGCUAUGGAUUUAGUACCCGAUGAAUAGACUAUAGCAGCUAUGGAAUUAGUGCUUUAUGAACGAACAUUGACAGCUAUGGAUUUAGUGCCAGUCCCAUAACCCUGGAAGUAAGGGACUUCGGAAUAAACGAAUGCAGGAUAGAUGACUCUUAGGUUAAAUCCUUAAAGAGUAAAGAAGAUAAUGGGGAUGGGUAAUUGGGUUGAUUGUUUGAUUGAACAUAAUAAUUAUAUUAUUGUGGGUUGAAAACCCUAUGUACUCACCAGGUUUCCCAACCUGACCCACUCAGUUUAUGUAUAUCACAGGUGACGAAGUGAAGUGACAUUACACUGAGAGAUUUAAAAGAGAUGUAGAUCACUAGUGUAAAUCAUUGUAAGUCUGUUUAUGCUUAUGUUUCGGUAUUAACGAUGACAUCCCAAACAUUUUAAAAUGAAAUAAAUACGUUUCUUCGAAAAUGUUUUAAUAACGUAUUUACCAUGUUUUUCUGGGAACAAAUUCCGCAACCUUUUUAUAAAAUGAAGUACUCUGAUUUUUAUAAAGCAUAAACAAAAUCGGUCUUUUCUGGCCGUGAUUUUGGGGAUGUCACACGACGUGAGUGUGGAUAAUUCGAAAAUUAUAAAUAAAACUUGAUUCUUACGUUUUCGGGAGGUUGGCUGACUGUAGAGAGGAUUCAGAAGUCAAAUUUCAAAAGAGAGAAAGGCCUGGAAAUUAGUUCUAACACCAAAGAAGAAGAAGUUCAUAAUCUACUUUGUAGUUUGGUACAUUAACAUGUUUUUUUUUUAUUAUGAAUUGUUUGUGUUUAUUUGUUAGAAUGUCCAGCUAAAUCUAGUUGUUUCUGUUAGCUAGACGAAGCUGGAACUCAUGGUUUUAUUCUAUUAAUUUAGAUUUUUCUUGUUGGUUAAUGUCUUGUGUUUGAUUGAUUAUACCUAACAUGUUUUGAUUUGAUAAUUAGAUUGCUUAAAACUUCUUAUUCUGUGUAGUUAGUGACCGUUAAUCUGCAUGAAUUUGAAUACCUAGUAACUUAGUGAGCAUUAGAUUAUUAGAGCUAAGAUCGAAUCAAUCUUAGUUAAGGAAUUGAAUUGUUAAAUUUAGCUGUGCUAGAGAACUCAUAUUGUGACCAAAAUUAUGUUUGUUAAUUCAAUCUUACAUAGCUCCAAUUCUAUUUAAUAAAUUGAUUAUGUGUUAAAUUAUGUGUGACCAUACAUAGCUCUACAUGAAUUAGUUUAAUAUUAGUUAAUUUGGAAUUGAAUUGCUAAUAAUGUCUUAAUCGGUAACCAACAUAAUUGUCAUAAGUAUUAUUUAAAACCAUUGAGGGAAAGUGGAUUUAACUAACAUAAGUGUUUUUGUUAAUUGAUUGAAUAAUUGUUAAGGAAUUAAGUUUUUUCUAAACUUGCAAAAUUAAAUAAAAACCAUUACUUUGCUAGAAUCUUAGGUUAAUUUAAUAGUAGGUAAAUUAAUUAGUUAAAACUGUUUCAUGUGAUCGACACCCAACUUACCUACA
rnacentral:lncRNA from 1 species